GCAACUACAUUUGGAUGGGUCAGUGGAUGCUUAAGAGGCUUCCAAUAUUGCAUUGGUAAGAUAUGAUUCAUUGAAUCUUCCAACAAAUAUUCAUGGAGCACUUAGUAUAUACCCGGCAAUCUUCAGGCCACAGGAAACAGAAUGUUGAGUUACCAUGACAAAGUCACUGUCACAGAGCCAGUGGGGAAAGCAGCCUCUAAACAUGCCACCCAGAGCCAAGAAGUCCAGUAUCUCACUCCACAUCUGCCUUCUCGUGGUCCAACACUCUGCCGACUCAGUUAAUCCAAAGAUCACUUCCAAACUUCAGGCUGAUGGAAACCUGAGGAGUCGCAUCCAUUCAUAGGCAGCCCCAUUUUCACCUUCCCUUGUCCCCGAGGCUGCCAUUAGGUUGAAAACCAGUCUGGUACUGUCAGCGUGUCUUUGUCUACAGCUAUGAAAAAGUCCACAUAGUCCAGUCUCUACAUAGGGCACAAUGAUUCUCCUCUACAUCUCAGCUACCAGGUACCAGCUUGUCGAACACACAUGCAAACAUUCAAACCCUUCUCAGGUUCCCCUCUAGGGCCUUCAGGGACUUAUCCGGCAUACCUGAGGUUGGGGCCAUUGCAAUCUAUUCUUAGUCUAGUGUUAAGCCGGGUCAACAGCGGAGAU
rnacentral:lncRNA from 1 species